AGGGCCGCGGUAUUUUGACCGUGCGAAGGUAGCAUAAUCAGUAGUCUUUUAAUUUGGGGCUGGAAUGAAUGGUCGGAUGAGGUAUAGGCUGUCUUUAUCUUAUAUUAUAAUUUAACUUUUAAGUGAAAAGGCUUAAAUUUAAUAGGGGGACGAUAAGACCCUAUAAAACUUUAUAUAAAUAAAUUUAGUUUGAGAAUUUGGUUUAAUUUUUAUUAGAAUGUUUUGUAUUUUGUUGGGGAGACAGGAAUAUAAUUUUAACUGUUCAUUAGAUUAUAUACUUAUAGGUGUGUUAUGAUCCUUUUUUAAAGAUUAAAAGAUUAAGUUACUUUAGGGAUAACAGUGUAAUUUCUUUUGAGAGUUCUUAUCGACAAAGAUAGUUGCAACCUCGAUGUUGAAUUAAAAUUUUAAAAAGGUGUAGUAGCUUUUUUGGUAGGUCUGUUCGACCUUUAAAAUUUU
rnacentral:rRNA from 1 species